UCUACUCUCUGCCCUCUAAAACCUGAGUUUAAUUAAACUGUAUUUUUUAUAUUCUUCUAAUGUUUACUUCUAUAUCUUGAAAUGUGGUUCUAUAUUUAUCACUUGAUCUGUCAGCUUUAAAACCUAACUUUGUAACCUCAGCUAUCACAUAGAGAAAAUCAACAUGUUACAUACACUCCCACCUUUUCACCCUUUUUUCCUCUCCUCUUUUGUGAAUUAUAUAUAUUUCUGUAUUUAUUAUAGCUCUCCUGGCUGUUUUAUUCUUAGUUUUAGGUUAAAUGGAAUCACUGCUUUCCACCGGUACUGUUGGAAAUAAUAUUAGUGUCCCAGUGUUGUUAGGAGGAUCAAAUGAAAAAGAAUCAGCAUUCAUUAAAUUUUCCUGAGAAUUUAGCGUAUUGCAGGUCCUGUGCCAGGUAUCUGGGAAUACAGAGUGCAACAACAUUGUCUCUGCUUUUAGGGAGCUCCCAUGCUCAUGGAAGUGACAAAGAAUUUCAGUCCAGUGUGAUAAGAGGUGUGAUAGAGAUAAGUACCAUGUGCUCCAGACCAGAGACGGUGUUCCUAACUCAAAUUUGGGGAUGGGGCAAUGAUCAGAUUCCUGGAGGAGGUGCUACUGAUUUGUGUCUUGAAGCAUGAAUAAGAUAUGGUGGACUGAUAAAGGGAUGAAAGGAAUUCUUGAUCUAGACAACAGCAAUGGCAGAGGCAUGAGAGAGAAUCAUGUUCGGAAAUUUGUAGUAAUCUUGAAUGUCUGGACUUAAGCUAAGGUGUGAAUGGGGAAAAGAGAAGUGAGAGAACUGAAGAAAUAGGCAAGGGGGCAUUCAUGAAGGCUGUAUGGGACCACUGUGGGGUCUUAAGUAUAAAAGUGAAUGACUGGAUUUGUAUUUUUGACGAACAUUGGCCCAGCAAAAGUGUGGACUCAAUGAAGCCAGACUGGAGAAAGAAGAUGAGUUGGAAAGUCACCACUCUCAUAACGAGGUGAUUCUUUGUAAGACUGACACCAAGACUUUAAACCCUUCAUGAGGAGAGACUGAAAAUGGACUAGAAUGAGAUUGGUUCAGGCCAACUUCCACUGAGCUACUGAUGUCCCAUAAAAGAAGUGAAGUUGUGUCAAAAGUUACAGUCUGGACUCAUACUGUGGAGAAUUCAGGAAGGGCCUAUCCCAUUCUUCGGAAAGAAAUGCAAAGGAGAGAGCAGUAAACUUCCUCCUUGAGACCAGGGUGUUGGUAGCAGAGUGUUGGAAAGCCACGCUCACUUGAGCCAUCACUGUGAUCUUACAGAAAGAUAUGGCAGCCUUAGAGCCUUGGAGGGCACGUGGCUCCUGGAGACCUGCUAAAGAGACCAUAUGGUGGAAUCCUGAGAGUUCUCAGAAGCAGCUGGAGAGUGUGAUCUUGCAAAAUGGGGUCACACAAUCAUCCAUGAAAACGAGGAUGAGGGCCAAAUAAUGCAGAGGGAGUGAUGGAGGAAUACCGAAGACAGAAAAUCAGCAGGUUUAACCUCACUUCCAGUUUCCUGCCAUUAUCCAGAAAAGGAACACCACUAAUUAAGAGGUAAAUGG